CUACAAAGGAAUUGACGGGGCCCGCACAAGCGGUGGAGCAUGUGGUUUAAUUCGACGCAACGCGAAGAACCUUACCAGGGCUUGACAUCCCCUGACCGCGUAUGAAAGUACGUUUUCACCCUCGGGUGACAGGGAGACAGGUGGUGCAUGGUUGUCGUCAGCUCGUGUCGUGAGAUGUUGGGUUAAGUCCCGCAACGAGCGCAACCCCUACGUUUAGUUGCUAACGCGUGAAGGCGAGCACUCUAGACGAACUGCCGUUGACAAAACGGAGGAAGGUGGGAUGACGUCAAAUCAUCAUGCCCCUUAUGUUCUGGGCUACACACGUGCUACAAUGGCCGGUACAGACGGACGCAAAGCCGCGAGGUGGAGCAAAUCCUAAAAAGCCGCUCUCAGUUCGGAUUGCAGGCUGCAACUCGCCUGCAUGAAGCCGGAAUCGCUAGUAAUCGCGGAUCAGCAUGCCGCGGUCGAAUACGUUCCCGGGCCUU
rnacentral:rRNA from 1 species